rnacentral:lncRNA from 1 species
GGUCAGUAUCCCCCAUGUUAUUUGAGUUACUGUUGUUUAUAUUUGUGUGGAGGUCAGUAUCCCCCAUGUUAUUUGAGUUACUGUUGUUGAGGGUGUCAGUAUCACCUAUGUCAAGGUCGAACUUCUGUACUGUUAAUGGGGCCAGUAUCCCCAGUCAAGUCCGUCAGUCUCUGUUUCUUUGGGUUUUUCACACCACGUUUAGCCUCAGCUGCCCUCCAAUUUUUUCUUCUUGGCAUCUUUAAAAAUCUAAAAAUACAUAUACAAAUAAAACAAUGUACAAUAAUGAGGACAAAAUGUUAUAAAUGCAUAAUGUGAUAAAAGAAAGGCUAGAUGAACAAUUACAUAAUGAGAGCUAAUAUGAUUGGGGUAGACAUAGUACCUUUA